rnacentral:rRNA from 1 species
CGGUGAAUACGUUCCCGGACCUUGCACACACCGCCCGUCAAGCCAUGGAAGCUGGGUGUACCUAAAGUCGGUAACCGUAAGGAGCCGCCUAGGGUAAAACUAGUGACUGGGGGCUUAAGUCGUAACAAGGUACCC